rnacentral:rRNA from 1 species
AUUGAACGCUGGCGGAAUGCUUUACACAUGCAAGUCGAACGGCAGCACGGACUUCGGUCUGGUGGCGAGUGGCGAACGGGUGAGUAAUGUAUCGGAACGUGCCCAGUCGUGGGGGAUAACGUAGUGAAAAUUACGCUAAUACCGCAUACGAUCUAUGGAUGAAAGCGGGGGAUCGCAAGACCUCGCGCGAUUGGAGCGGCCGAUAUCAGAUUAGGGAGGUGGUGGGGUAAAGGCCCACCAAGCCAACGAUCUGUAGCUGGUCUGAGAGGACGACCAGCCACACUGGAACUGAGCAACGGUCCAGACUCCUACGGGAGGCAGCAGUGGGGAAUUUUGGACAAUGGGCGAAAGCCUGAUCCAGCCAUUCCGCGUGCAGGAUGAAGGCCCUCGGGUUGUAAACUGCUUUUGUACAGAACGAAAAGGUUUCUACUAAUACUAGGAGCUCAUGACGGUACUGUAAGAAUAAGCACCGGCUAACUACGUGCCAGCAGCCGCGGUAA